ACUUAAAACCGUGUCUUUAGAUUUUCAUAUUUUUAUAACAAAUGAAUCACAUGUAUUUUCUGAUGGAUGUUUUUCUAUAUUCUAUUAGGAUGCGAAAUGCAGAAAUUCGUGUGACACAUGGUGUAAGUAGUAUAUCUGGACAUAAUUUUGUUCCUUUGAGCAAUGAUCUCCUCAACACUAGGAGGGAUGUAGAUUGAGGACCUUAUUGAAGCUAACGAGGUGUGAAUCGGAGUAAUGAAGCACAAUAUUAAGGUGAUAGUUUCCGCUAAUGUAAAAUGGCUUGGAGCAAGAUAAUAACGCAAUGAACAUGGUAGUUUAAUGUUGGAGAUGAAAAGAAGACUGAGUUUUGAUGAAGUAAAAGCCUUACAAAAGAGCUUUAAGUUGAACAAGCUAGAUCAAACGUGAUAUUAGAGAUUUUGAUGUUUUUAUGUUUGAGUAUAGUAAUAUCAAUCACUUUGAUUGCACAAAUAAAUAACCCAUUUGAAAUCCUUUUUAUUUUCUUCAAGGAAAACCACUUGAAAUGCUUUAGUUAUGUGAUAAUCUAUAACUACAUUUACUACAUCAAUAUGGUAUAUACAUGGCGGUAUCAUGAUAACUAAAAUCAUGAAUUAAAUGAUCA